GUGUCAGCAGCCGCGGUAAGACGUAGGGGGCCAGCGUUGCUCGGAAUUACUGGGCGUAAAGGGUUCGUAGGCGGUGUGGCAAGUCGGAAGUGAAAUCUCUGGGCUCAACCCAGAGGCUGCUCCCGAAACUGCCAUGCUAGAGUGCGGGAGAGGCGAGUGGAAUUACAGGUGUAGCGGUGAAAUGCGUAGAUAUCUGUAGGAACACCCGUGGCGAAGGCGGCUCGCUGGACCGCAACUGACGCUGAGGAACGAAAGCUAGGGGAGCAAACAGGAUUAGAAACCCCAGUAGUCC
rnacentral:rRNA from 1 species